rnacentral:rRNA from 1 species
UCGCCUGUUUAUUCAAAAACAUCUCUAUAUGGAUUAAAAUAUAAAGUCUAGCCUGCCCACUGAGUUUUAAAGGGCUGCGGUAAUUUGACCGUGCAAAGGUAGCAUAAUCAGUAGUCUUUUAAUUGAAGGCUUGUAUGAAUGGUUGGAUGAAAGAGAAGCUGUCUCUUUUGCAAUUUAAAACUUGACUUUUAAGUGAAAAGGCUUAAAUUUAAUAAGGGGACGAUAAGACCCUAUAAAACUUUAUGCACGACAUGUCCUGUCUUUGAAUUAUAUCCAAAUAUUGGUUGGCUAAAAGUGCAUUCCGUUGGGGAGACGUUGAUAUAAGCUGUAACUGUCUUAUUAAAUAGAAUAAUUAUUAUUAUAAUUUGAUCCUUCUUUGUGGAUAAAAAGAAUAAGUUACUUUAGGGAUAACAGCGUAAUUUUCUCAGAGAGUUCUUAUCGAAGAGAAUAGUUGCGACCUCGAUGUUGAAUUAAAAUUUCAGUUAGGUGUAGCCGCUUAGCUAGUAGGUCUGUUCGACCUUUAAAAUUUUACAUGAUUUGAGUUCAAACCGGUGUAAGCCAGGUUGGUUUCUAUCUA